AUGGGGAAGAAGACUACAGCGAAGAAACACCGAGGACCCAAGACAACAGACUGUAAGAAGACUAGUCAGAAAACUAGUAAGAAAAGAUAUGCUGCCAUGCCCCCUGGUGGAGUCAAGCCUCGACCUCCUAAGAGGGUUCAUGCGGACCUCCCAACUAAUCCACGAGUCACAAGGUCGAAGAAAGCUCUAUCACAAGAUGCUGAUGGAGGUCCACAAUCCUAUGAGGAGCCAAGGGAAAGGGCCCCAAUUUGGGAAAAGCGCUGGAAGGAUUACAAGGACCCAGAUGGACAUGUCCGAGAUGGGAUCUUCAGGAACUUUGUAGGAAAAGUUGGUAACAAGUUUCAGAUGGACGUUGAUGUUGUGCCAGUUAGGAAGGCUUGUACUGAAAUGCUGAAACGUGCGACUCGCCAACAACGAUACAGGCUCAAGAAAGAGUAUUUUGACCCUCACCCACUCCAUUUGGUGACAAGAACGUCUCCUGUCCCCUUGAUGACCGAUGAGCAGUGGAAUGAGCUAGUGGAAAGCUGGAAGGAUCCCAAAAAGAUGGGGAUAUGUGAAACUAACAAAAAUAAUCGAGCUCAAGUUAAGUUUCACCAAACCACUAGCUCGCGCAGCUACCCUGUGCACUGUGAUAAUCUGGGAGACAAAUACAAAGAUAAAGAACCCACUGCAUUGGAUUUGUUCAAGGGGUGCCAUUACAGCAAGAAAAAGAAAAGCUACACCGAUGUUGUCCAAGCUGCAAUUACCGAGAUGGAAAACAAGGCCUCUCAGCCUACAGAAGAUGGACAAGAAUCAAACUCUACGACCAAGGCUGUAGCUGAAGUGCUUGCUAACCACACUAAGAAGCUAAGGUUUCUUCAGCAUGUGGGGAUCCAACAUGUCCAUGCGAGAUCUAGCGAUAGCAACUGUCAAGCAGAAUUGGCAAAGAGGGGCAAUGUCGAGCUUCGAGCUCUUGUUGACACCUUGACCAAGCAGUUGAAGGAGUCCGAAGAAGCAAGGAUCAGGCAAGACGAGGAGCACAGGAAGAGAGAUGAGGAGAACAGGAAGAAGCAAGCUGAGAUGGAUGCAAAACUAGACUUUUUGUUAAGUCAGUUGCAAGCAAGAUCAACUCAAGGGUAA
rnacentral:rRNA from 1 species